UGUUUACAUGCACAGUGAGCGGAACAGUAUGGAAAGACGAGCAGUAGACUUUGCAGAUUAAUGUCUCCUAGUGUGUGAUCUCAGCUCUGUAAGAAGAAUUCAGUCAGUCUUACUUACAGUCAUGCAGCACCCAAACUUUGAAACAAGGCAUCCACUGCAGCAGGAUGAGACGGGCUAUGACCCUCUGCACAACUACAACAGAAAGACCAGCAGUGCUUCAGUAGAAUGUUGUGGAGAAUCAACGUUUCAGUCAUACAGG